CCUUAAACCGGCCAAAGCUCUAGCUCGAUAUGCCCUUGCCACUCAAAUCGGCCUCCCCGCACGUCGAAUCUGAACAAAACCAGAAUGAAUACGUCACAUUAUGCUAAGGGAACAAAACUCAAUCGAAAACAAUCAAAAAAUAUCAAAAAUCCCGAAAUUAGCAAAACCCGAGCCCCGGGCCCACUUCUCGAAAUUCAGAAAUUUUUACAUCAACGGGUUCCUUAUCUCCCCACGAGUUCAUACAUACCAUAAGUUCUCAAAUCCGACCCCAAAUGGUCCUCCAAAUCCCUAAUUAGAAUAUCAAAAUCUCAAGCCCUAUUUCUUCCAUUUCGCGCAAGAAUUCAAUGAUUUUCUAGGUGGAUUUCAUAAUAUAAACGAGUUUUAGGUCCGAAAUUCUUACCUCCAAACAUUUCUCCUUGAAUCCCUCUUCAAUCUCCUUCAAAAAGCUCUCAAAAUGAUCAACUAUGGCUGAAAAAUGGACCCAAAUCGCGGACAAGAGGACUUAAACAUUCUGCCCAGGCUUCAUCGAGGUGUACCUUGCGAUGUGCAGGUUGUACAUCCUUUUACCAUUUUUUC
rnacentral:lncRNA from 1 species